CGUUAUCCGGAUUUAUUGGGUUUAAAGGGUGCGUAGGCGGAUUAUUAAGUCAGUGGUGAAAUCCUGCAGCUCAACUGUAGAACUGCCAUUGAUACUGAUAGUCUUGAAUUUAGUUGAGGUAGGCGGAAUGUGUUGUGUAGCGGUGAAAUGCAUAGAUAUAACACAGAACACCGAUUGCGAAGGCAGCUUACUAAGCUAUAAUUGACGCUGAUGCACGAAAGCGUGGGUAGCGAACAGGAUUAGAUACCCUGGUAGUCCACGCCGUAAACGAUGAUUACUCGUUGUUGGCAAUACAUGGUCAGCGACUGAGCGAAAGCAUUAAGUAAUCCACCUGGGGAGUACGUUGGCAACAAUGAAACUCAAAGGAAUUGACGGGGGCCCGCACAAGCGGAGGAACAUGUGGUUUAAUUCGAUGAUACGCGAGGAACCUUACCUGGACUUAAAUGUAGAUUGCAUAGAUCAGAGAUGAUCUUUUCUUCGGACUAUUUACAAGGUGCUGCAUGGUUGUCGUCAGCUCGUGCCGUGAGGUGUCGGGUUAAGUCCCAUAACGAGCGCAACCCCUGUUGUUAGUUACCAGCACGUAAAGGUGGGGACUCUAA
rnacentral:rRNA from 1 species